rnacentral:ncRNA from 1 species
ACAAAAGCUAAGAUGUGACAGAGUAAAAAUUCUUGCGACAUAAGAGAUAUGAUGGUUGGUGCAAAUCAUACGCUGGGGAAUUUUGAAUACACCACGGAGUUGUUAUCUUGAUAAGGGAUAACCGGGGUCAUAACGUUAUUUAUGAAAGUUUCUAACUUAUGAAGGUUAUAACUGUGAAGUUAUAAUAAACUGAGGUGGUACCGCGUCAACUCGCCCUCUUA